rnacentral:rRNA from 1 species
UACAGAGGUCUCAAGCGUUGUUCGGAUUCAUUGGGCGUGAAGGGUGCGUAGGCGGCGCGGUAAGUCGGGUGUGAAAUCUUGGAGCUUAACUCCGAAACUGCAUUCGAUACUGCCGUGCUUGAGGACUGGAGAGGAGACUGGAAUUUACGGUGUAGCGGUGAAAUGCGUAGAUAUCGUAAGGAAGACCAGUGGCGAAGGCGGGUCUCUGGACAGUUCCUGACGCUGAGGCGCGAAAGCGUGGGGAGCAAACGGG